GCCGCUCCACCUUUCUCUACAAACCCUAGAUUCUCCCCCGCUCCUCCACGGCUCAUCCAUGGAACCGGUCGUCGCCAUCACCGUCUUCUCUCCUUCUCCACUCCAACAGUCCUUCAUGAUCUAGGGUUUCACUGAGAAACCAGCCGUUUCAUGAUCUAGGGUUUUUCUGUAGAUCCGACGCUAUCUCAACAGAUUCGAAACCAAAUCGAUUUCUAUGGCUUCUUUCCCGGUGGCUUCAAGAUCCGACACUAUCUCAGUAGAUCCGACACCAGAUCUACUGGUUUGACUGUAGGAUCUUCCGUUUGGUUGUGGGUUCGUCAAAGAUGGUGGUUGUGGGUGGAAGAUCUGGCCAGAUCUAUGGCUCUGUUCUUUAAAUUUCUUGGAGGAUCUUAAGCUCAGGUGCAACGGGAAAUGUGAAUAAGGGUUCCAAAUUUUCCAACUUUAAUAUUUAAUUUAAAGUUUUAGGAUUUGGUCAUUACAUUUGUUUUCUUGGAAAAAAUAAGAUCUCUUAUACUAAUUAGAGUUUUUGUUUUCAUGAGAUAGCAGUUUCAUGGGUGAUUUUAAGUUCAGAAGGAAGAAGGAACUUAGACUGAAGAUGUUCUUGAUGAUGGAAUCGUGAAAAACAUACAAAUCUUAUUGCUUCUUCAGGUUGCGGUUGCCUAUGAAAGUAUGAAAAUCUACCAAGCAAACUGCGGUUAACCCUGUUAAUUAUAGUUUGCUAUUUAAAAUGUGUUUUGGAGAAAAAAAGUGUAAUGUGUUUAUUCAAAAUUGGAGUAAAAAGUUUAAUGUGUUUAUUCGCGGUUAAACCUGGUAAUUAUGGUUUGCUAUUUAAAAUGUGUUUUGGAGUAAAGAAGUGUAAUGUGUAUUCAAAAUUGUUUGUUUCGCUCACAAGUGGGUCGACAUUGCUGGUACUGAGGCUGAUUUUGAAGCUAUAAAUAUCUGGCUAAAUGGGUCGGUUUUGGUAACGGUUCAGAUGGGUAAGCUCGAUAUGUGGCUGAAAGACGGAUUCCAUUUGUUGCUCUUGAUGUGACAAGGUAUAAAGUCAUUUAUAUUUUUUAUGUGCUAAAUGGGUUAAAGAAAUGAGGAUUCGAGCUCUGGAGAUGGUGUCAGAACUGAAAGAGCGGAUAAACAGGGCCUUCUGGUUUUUGCUAUCGGUGUAGGCCUCAGCGCAUUUGACAAAGCAUCCGUCCACUAUUAUCUGCAGUCGCACAUUCAAAUCAAUGAAUUCUACCGAGGAGUUCGUGAUUCGCAGCUGAUCGGAUUAUCCGGUUACACAAAAGAGGGCCUUCUGGUUUCUGCUAUCGGUGUAGGCCUCAGCACAUUUGACAAAGCAUCCGUAAGACUUCGUUAUACUGAAUUGUGAUCGUGUGAUUCUGGUGCAGUCGCACAUUCGAUGCCACGUGCAGAGAACCUAAAGAUUGCAGCUUAUAGAACUCUUCUUGGACAUACUGCUUCUGUGCAAAGUGUUGCAGCACAGCCUACUGCGAAUAUGGGGCUACAAUCGAACGAAAAAAGAGGCUGAGAGGUAUCUGUAUUCUCAUAAUCGAAAGAAGGAUGAAGGGAAACAACGAACUGGGUUCUAAUAGGGCUCUCAAGGGGUUUUGAGUGAGAUAUAGUGCCGAAAAAUGAAGAAACUUAAGAACCAUUAGCAGUUUCUCCAGCAUUGGUGCUUGAAGACGAGGUGUGCCAUCCACUACAAUUAAGGUGAACACGAAGAAGCGACUGAUAACGAUUGGCGGGCGUUUGAAGGUAUCCAAAAAUGGUGGUAAGUGAGUACGAGGAUGAGCUUGGUAAGACGAGGCGACGGUGGUGUGUUGAGGAUCUAACCGGUAGGUGUACUCCUCGAAGCUAUAGAGUAAGUUUUAGAUACGCCUUUCAUCAAUAUCACCAAUUGGUAGGUGUACUUUGUGAAUAUUCUUUAAUUUUUUAUUUAAUCUAUUUACCGAUUUGCGACUUAUAAGACUGCAGAUUGGCUUUAGAACUUGCAGACAAGUGUACUCUGAAUGUCUUAGUAUGUGUGGACCUCUGAUGGCGUUGUGUUCAAGUACGGCUCUAAGCCUAUUCAGAACUUUCUAUAGGGAUUGAUGAUGUGUUGUCUUAUAUGAUAUGUUUGAGGAAGAACUGAUCAGCCUGCAUCCCAACAUCAACUUCAAAAUGUGAUUCAACAUCAACAUCAGAUGAUAUUUUGGCUCGCAAUAAAAAGAUGAACUCUAUGUCUUCUAGGUAUAUACACACAAAACCCUAAUCUUUUUUCAUAUUUUGCAUACUGAUCUGUGUGUUUUUAUAGCAAGUUUUGCAUAAUGAAUCAUACACAGUUAGAUUUUAACAAUUAUUUUUCAAUUUACAAUUUUUAUCUAUUUUUGAUUGGGCAUACAUGUAACAUUCUAAUCUAUAUGGAUUUAUAUUAAGCCUAUAAUUUGAAGAAAGUGCUAAGACAGUACGUAUGCAAUGUACCAGUUAGGAUUUGUAGUAAUUCGUAACGUAAUUUGGGAUUUAUUUUGUUAGAAUUUCUUUAUUUUUAAUAUGUUCCCAGGUAUCAAAUGAGGUGUAUGCACAAUUCUCAGCUGGCAUUUAGGUAAAGUAAUUUAUAUUUAUAUAAAAUCCAAGCAUUAGUUUGCUUUGUGAACACCCCUAAUAUAUACAUUCAACUAGGGGUGUUCAUGGUCCGGUUUUGACGGUUUCUAGGUCAAAGAGUGAGCCAAACUGUUAGUAACGGUUUUUAUCGUGAACACCUCUUAUAUCAAUUGUUGCGGAGAUAAUGUUAAAAUCCUAUGAACAAGGAUAAAUGGGAGUGGAUUGGAGGGAAUGAUGGAGAAAAAGUUUUGUUGGUGCAGUUAUUUUAUUUUAAGAAGGAACACAGACUAUAGCGGGAAUUAUGUUUUGAAGUGGUCAAAAUGGGUUCCAAGAAAGUGUAAUAUUUUGGUGUGGAGAGCUGCGAUGGGUCGGAUCUAGACAGUGGAUGCUUUAAGAAACGCAACUGCUACAGGGGCGAGGAUACCUGCAUUUUAUGCGAAGACGGGUCACAGACUGCUGACCUUAUUUUUUUGCUCUUGUUAUGCUGCAGCGGCGCUGGCAUGCGUUGGAGUCAGAUCUGCGGAUUCUAGAAAUAGCCAAUUGUAUAGUGUUUUGUUAUUUGUGUGAUGUGUAGUUUGUUUAGUGUUUUCUUUUCUUUUCUUCAUAUGGCUGAUGUGUGGUGGUUAUAGUUAGACGUAAUAGGACCGUACUCUUGAUACGAGUAUUUGUUGGUGUUAUACUUUUAUGUUAGGUGGAACCAUGGGUUCAUGAUUUUUUUGGGUGGUGUAUUCUUGUAAUCCAUACCUUCAAGACCCACUAACUAUUUUGACUAUGAAAAUGUUGUUUUAAAUUAGCAGUUUUCGCUUGCAGCAUGUAGUUGUGUUUUAUAUUAAAACACAUGGUUUAUUUAAUGGAAGCUUAGGUACAAACUCAACUACAUUUUUUAUUACCUGUUACUUGUAUUUAUGUUUUUUACCAACAUAAAGUCAUGCUUUAACUCCUUUAUUUUCAACGUACUAUACAAGCAAAUCGAGUACAUAUAUUCCUCAAUCAACUUGUCAUGGAGUAGUGAUAGCAUCAAUUGAAACACAAACAAAGAAUACAUAAACACAAAUCACAUUUCUUAAAAUAAGCUUAACACUUAUUUCCACACUUCAAACAAUGAAGAACUCUUCUACAACAUUUUUCAACUAGCCAAAUGGCUCGCUUGAUGUCCCCAAUGAUUGCAACAAG
rnacentral:lncRNA from 1 species